GGAUGAACGCUAGCGGGAGGCCUAACACAUGCAAGCCGAGCGGUAGAGUUUCUUCGGAAACUUGAGAGCGGCGCACGGGUGCGUAACACGUGUGCAACCUACCUUUAUCUGGGGGAUAGCCUUUCGAAAGGAAGAUUAAUACCCCAUAAUAUAAUGAUUGGCAUCAAUUAUUAUUGAAAACUCCGGUGGAUAGAGAUGGGCACGCGCAAGAUUAGAUAGUUGGUGAGGUAACGGCUCACCAAGUCAAUGAUCUUUAGGGGUCCUGAGAGGGAGAUCCCCCACACUGGUACUGAGACACGGACCAGACUCCUACGGGAGGCAGCAGUGAGGAAUAUUGGACAAUGGGUGAGAGCCUGAUCCAGCCAUCCCGCGUGAAGGAUGACGGUCCUAUGGAUUGUAAACUUCUUUUGUACAGGGAUAAACCUACCCUCGGGAGGGUAGCUGAAGGUACUGUACGAAUAAGCACCGGCUAACUCCGUG
rnacentral:rRNA from 1 species